rnacentral:rRNA from 1 species
UGGAGAAUAUUGGUCAAUGGUCGAUAGACUGAACCAGCCAAGUAGCGUGCGGGAUGAAGGGCCCUCCGGGGUCGUAAACCGCUUUUAGACGGGGAUAAAAGGGCGUACGUGUACGCCGUAUUGCAUGUACCGUCAGAAAAAGGACCGGCUAAUUCCGUGCCAGCAGCCGCGGUAAUACGGAAGGUCCGGGCGUUAUCCGGAUUUAUUGGGUUUAAAGGGAGCGUAGGCGGACUUUCAAGUCAGUGGUAAAAUCGUGUGGCUCAACCAUACCUCGCCAUUGAAACUGGAAGUCUGGAGUGCACACAGGGGUGCCGGAAUUCAUGGUGUAGCGGUGAAAUGCUUAGAUAUCAUGAAGAACUCCGAUCGCGAAGGCAAGUGCCCGGGGUGCAACUGACGCUGAGGCUCGAAAAGUGUGGGUAUCAAACAGGAUUAGAUACC